rnacentral:rRNA from 1 species
GAUGAACGCUGGCUACAGGCUUAACACAUGCAAGUCGAGGGGAAACGACGGGGAAGCUUGCUUCCCCGGGCGUCGACCGGCGCACGGGUGAGUAACGCGUAUCCAACCUGCCUCUGACUGAGGGAUAACCCGUCGAAAGUCGGCCUAAUACCUCAUGGUAUCGUCUGCGGGCAUCCAACUACAAUUAAAGAUUUCAUCGGUCAGGGAUGGGGAUGCGUCUGAUUAGCUUGUUGGCGGGGUAACGGCCCACCAAGGCUACGAUCAGUAGGGGUUCUGAGAGGAAGGUCCCCAACAUUGGAACUGAGACAAGGUCCAAACUCGUACGGGAGGCAGCAGUGAGGAAUAUUGGUCAAUGGGCGAGAGCCUGAACCAGCCAAGUAGCGUGCAGGAAGACGGCACUAUGGGUUGUAAACUGCUUUUAUGCGGGGAUAAAGUGAGGGACGUGUCCCUCAUUGAAGGUACCGCAUGAAUAAGGACCGGCUAAUUCCGUG